GCUGAAGACGGAAGUCCCUGGCUAUCUGUGUUCUGCCCAAACAUCAGCACAGUGGCAUCUGGCAAGGCUCCUUCCAGAGAAAACACAGAGGUGAACGUUGCAGAAGGCAUUGAGAAAUCCUGCUCCCAACAGGAAGAAAACAAACCGACUUCCAGAGCCAGCAGAAUAGACUUCUUCUGAGUCAGGUGGCCUACUUCCUGAACUACCAGCUGAAGACCUACAGAGAUCGAAAAGAUCACGGUGAAGAACAGAGAGGCAGAGACAGCAAAAAUAAACUUCUUAUGAGUCAAGUGGCCUACUACCUGGGCUGCCGGCUGAAGACGGAAGUCCCUGGCUUUCUGUGUUCUUCCCGAAACAUCAGC